AUUGAACGCUGGCGGCAUGCCUUACACAUGCAAGUCGAACGGCAGCACGGGAGCAAUCCUGGUGGCGAGUGGCGAACGGGUGAGUAAAGUAUCGGAACGUGCCCAGUCGUGGGGGAUAACGUAGCGAAAGUUACGCUAAUACCGCAUACGAUCUAUGGAUGAAAGCGGGGGAUCGCAAGACCUCGCGCGAUUGGAGCGGCCGAUAUCAGAUUAGGUAGUUGGUGGGGUAAAGGCUCACCAAGCCAACGAUCUGUAGCUGGUCUGAGAGGACGACCAGCCACACUGGGACUGAGACACGGCCCAGACUCCUACGGGAGGCAGCAGUGGGGAAUUUUGGACAAUGGGCGAAAGCAUGAUCCAGCAAUGCCGCGUGCAGGAAGAAGGCCUUCGGGUUGUAAACUGCUUUUGUACGGAGCGAAAAGGCCCUCUCUAAUACAGGGGGUUUAUGACGGUACCGUAAGAAUAAGCACCGGCUAACUAUGUGCCAGCCGCCGCCGUAA
rnacentral:rRNA from 1 species